rnacentral:rRNA from 1 species
UACGGAGGAUCCAAGCGUUAUCCGGAAUCAUUGGGUUUAAAGGGUCCGUAGGCGGUUUUGUAAGUCAGUGGUGAAAGCCCAUCGCUCAACGGUGGAACGGCCAUUGAUACUGCAAGACUUGAAUUAUUAGGAAGUAACUAGAAUAUGUAGUGUAGCGGUGAAAUGCUUAGAGAUUACAUGGAAUACCAAUUGCGAAGGCAGGUUACUACUAGUGGAUUGACGCUGAUGGACGAAAGCGUGGGGAGCGAACAGG